ACUGCUCAGUAACACGUGGACAAUCUGCCCUGAAGUGGAGAAUAAUCCCGGGAAACUGGGGGUAAUACUCCAUAGUUCGUUAUUACUGGAAUGUAUUUCGAACGAAAGAUCCGUCGCUUCAGGAUGAGUCUGCGGCCGAUUAGGUAGUUGUUGGGGUAAUUGCCCAACAAGCCUGUCAUCGGUACGGGUUGUGGGAGCAAGAGCCCGGAGAUGGAUUCUGAGACACGAAUCCAGGCCCUACGGGGCGCAGCAGGCGCGAAAACUUUACCAUGCGGGCAACCGUGAUAAGGAAACCCCGAGUGCCAGCACAGGCUGGCUGUCCGCCAGUUUAAACAACUGGCGAAGAAAGGGCCGGGCAAGACCGGUGCCAGCCGCCGCGGUAAUACCGGCGGCUCGAGUGGUGGCCGCUAUUACUGGGCUUAAAGGGUCCGUAGCUUGAUAAUUGGGUCCCUUGAGAAAUCCGCCGGCUUAACUGGCGGGCGUUCAGGGGAAACUUGUUUUCUAGGGACCGGGAGAGGUGAGGGGUACUGCCGGGGUAGGAGUGAAAUCCUGUAAUCCCGGUGGGACCACCUAUGGCGAAGGCAUCUCACCAGAACGGGUCCGACAGUGAGGGACGAAAGCUGGGGGAGCAAACCGGAUUAGAUACCCGGGUAGUCCCAGCUGUAAACUAUGUGCGUUAGGUGUGUCAGUGACCACGUGUCACUGAGGUGCCGAAGGGAAACCGUGAAACGCACCGCCUGGGGAGUACGGUCGCAAGGCUGAAACUUAAAGGAAUUGGCGGGGGAGCAC
rnacentral:rRNA from 1 species